UACGAAGGGGGCUAGCGUUGUUCGGAAUUACUGGGCGUAAAGCGCACGUAGGCGGAUAUUUAAGUCAGGGGUGAAAUCCCGGGGCUCAACCCCGGAACUGCCUUUGAUACUGGGUAUCUGGAGUAUGGAAGAGGUGAGUGGAAUUCCGAGUGUAGAGGUGAAAUUCGUAGAUAUUGGGAAGAACACCGGUGGCGAAGGCGGCUCUCUGGACCGAUACUGACGCUGAGGCGCGAAAGCGUGGGUAGCGAACAGG
rnacentral:rRNA from 1 species